rnacentral:rRNA from 1 species
CUCCAACGAGCGCAACGGACGAAAGUCUGACGGAGCAACGCCGCGUGAGUGAUGAAGGUUUUCGGAUCGUAAAACUCUGUUGUUAGGGAAGAACAAGUACCGGAGUAACUGCCGGUACCUUGACGGUACCUAACCAGAAAGCCACGGCUAACUACGUGCCAGCAGCCGCGGUAAUACGUAGGUGGCAAGCGUUGUCCGGAAUUAUUGGGCGUAAAGCGCGCGCAGGCGGUUCCUUAAGUCUGAUGUGAAAGCCCACGGCUCAACCGUGGAGGGUCAUUGGAAACUGGGGAACUUGAGUGCAGAAGAGAAGAGUGGAAUUCCACGUGUAGCGGUGAAAUGCGUAGAGAUGUGGAGGAACACCAGUGGCGAAGGCGACUCUUUGGUC